rnacentral:rRNA from 1 species
UACGUAGGGUCCGAGCGUUGUCCGGAAUUAUUGGGCGUAAAGGGCUCGUAGGCGGUUUGUCGCGUCGGGAGUGAAAACUCAGGGCUCAACCCUGAGCGUGCUUCCGAUACGGGCAGACUAGAGGUAUGCAGGGGAGAACGGAAUUCCUGGUGUAGCGGUGGAAUGCGCAGAUAUCAGGAGGAACACCGGUGGCGAAGGCGGUUCUCUGGGACGUUACUGACACUGAGGCGCGAAAGCGUGGGGAGUGAACAGG